rnacentral:rRNA from 1 species
AACGAACGCUGGCGGCAUGCCUAACACAUGCAAGUCGAACGAGACCUUCGGGUCUAGUGGCGCACGGGUGCGUAACGCGUGGGAACCUGCCCUUAGGUUCGGAAUAACUCCCCGAAAGGGGUGCUAAUACCGGAUAAUGUCUUCGGACCAAAGAUUUAUCGCCUUUGGAUGGGCCGGCGUUGGAUUAGCUAGUUGGUAGGGUAAAAGCCUACCAAGGCGACGAUCCAUAGCUGGUCUGAGAGGAUGAUCAGCCACACUGGGACUGAGACACGGCCCAGACUCCUACGGGAGGCAGCAGGGGGGAAUAUUGGACAAUGGGCGAAAGCCUGAUCCAGCAAUGCCGCGUGAGUGAUGAAGGCCUUAGGGUUGUAAAGCUCUUUUACCCGGGAUGAUAAUGACAGUACCGGGAGAAUAAGCUCCGGCUAACUCCGUG